UACGUAGGGUCCAAGCGUUAUCCGGAAUUACUGGGCGUAAAGCGUCUGUAGGCGGCUAAAUAAGUUGGAUAUUAAAUCUUCCCGCUCAACGGGGUAGCUGUAUUCAAAACUGUUUGGCUAGAGCAUGGUAGAGGCAAGUGGAAUUUGUAGUGUAGCAGUGAUAUGCGUAGAUAUUACAAGGAACACCAAUGGCGAAGGCAGCUUGCUGGGCCAAUGCUGACGCUGAGAGACGAAAGCGUGGGGAGCGAACAGG
rnacentral:rRNA from 1 species